rnacentral:siRNA from 1 species
UUGCCUUACUUUGGUUGGGC